rnacentral:rRNA from 1 species
UACGUAGGUGGCAAGCGUUGUCCGGAUUUACUGGGCGUAAAGAGCGCGUAGGCGGCCUUGUAAGUCGGAUGUGAGAUCCCUCGGCUUAACCGAGGACGUGCAUCCGAAACUGUGAGGCUCGAGUAUGGAAGAGGGUCGCAGAAUUCCCGGUGUAGAGGUGAAAUUCGUAGAUAUCGGGAGGAAUACCAGUGGCGAAGGCGGCGACCUGGGCCAAUACUGACGCUGAGGUGCGAAAGCGUGGGGAGCAAACAGG